rnacentral:pre_miRNA from 1 species
GUUAAAACUCGAAAUCAAUCAAACUCGGUCAAACUCGUAAAAUCGAUCUGAUUUUACCGAUUUUAACUGAGUUUGACCGAGUUUGAUCGAUUUCGAGUUUUAAC